rnacentral:lncRNA from 1 species
UAAUGKUUGUAUAUAGUCUUUGUUAAUACAUAAAUUCCUAAGUGUUUAUUCAGUGUUUUGUCAUAUAGUAAUACAGAAAGAUUGCCAGUUUUAUCAGUGCUGAUGGUUUGUAAUAUAACGUAAAGAGGUUUAAAGUCCCUCUUACUUCCUCAUGUUAUUGCUCAAUAGAUUUGCUAAUGUAAUAAAAUUAUUUUUUGUAUUAGUAAGUCUGUUUUGACUAUUCUUUUGUCUAGGAGUUGUCUGCCACACCCAUUCUUGCUUUCUAGUAUGUGGGAGUACGUUAGGAAUGUUGAUCCUUGUGCAUUUAUCACCUCAGCAGCACUCUGGAGAAAUCUGUAUUUGUUAAGAUAACCUGGUAAAACUUCUGGACACAACAUUCAGCUGAGAAUAAUAGCAGGCAUAGGAAGA